rnacentral:rRNA from 1 species
AACGAACGCUGGCGGCAUGCCUAACACAUGCAAGUCGAACGAGACCUUCGGGUCUAGUGGCGCACGGGUGCGUAACGCGUGGGAACCUGCCCUUAGGUUCGGAAUAACUCCCCGAAAGGGGUGCUAAUACCGGAUAAUGUCUUCGGACCAAAGAUUUAUCGCCUUUGGAUGGGCCCGCGUUGGAUUAGCUAGUUGGUAGGGUAAAAGCCUACCAAGGCGACGAUCCAUAGCUGGUCUGAGAGGAUGAUCAGCCACACUGGGACUGAGACACGGCCCAGACUCCUACGGGAGGCAGCAGUGGGGAAUAUUGGACAAGGGGCGAAAGCCUGAUCCAGCAAUGCCGCGUGAGUGAUGAAGGCCUUAGGGUUGUAAAGCUCUUUUACCCGGGAUGUUAAUGACAGUACCGGGAGAAUAAGCUCCGGCUAACUCCGUG